rnacentral:rRNA from 1 species
AGCGAACGCUGGCGGCAGGCUUAACACAUGCAAGUCGAACGCCCCGCAAGGGGAGUGGCAGACGGGUGAGUAACACGUGGGAACGUACCCUUUGGUUCGGAAUAACUUGGGGAAACUCAAGCUAAUACCGGAUAAGCCCUUAUGGGGAAAGGUUUACUGCCGAAGGAUCGGCCCGCGUCUGAUUAGCUAGUUGGUGAGGUAACGGCUCACCAAGGCGACGAUCAGUAGCUGGUCUGAGAGAAUGAUCAGCCACAUUGGGACUGAGACACGGCCCAAACUCCUACGGGAGGCAGCAGUGGGGAAUAUUGGACAAUGGGCGCAAGCCUGAUCCAGCCAUGCCGCGUGAGUGAUGAAGGCCUUAGGGUUGUAAAGCUCUUUCACCGAUGAAGAUAAUGACGGUAGUCGGAGAAGAAGCCCCGGCUAACUUCGUGCCAGCAGCCGCCGCCG